AACGAACGCUGGCGGCAUGCCUAACACAUGCAAGUCGAACGAGACCUUCGGGUCUAGUGGCGCACGGGUGCGUAACGCGUGGGAACCUGCCCUUAGGUUCGGAAUAACUCCCCGAAAGGGGUGCUAAUACCGGAUAAUGUCUUCGGACCAAAGAUUUAUCGCCUUUGGAUGGGCCCGCGUUGGAUUAGCUAGUUGGUAGGGUAAAAGCCUACCAAGGCGACGAUCCAUAGCUGGUCUGAGAGGAUGAUCAGCCACACUGAGACUGAGACACGGCCCAGACUCCUACGGGAGGCAGCAGUGGGGAAUAUUGGACAAUGGGCGAAAGCCUGAUCCAGCAAUGCCGCGUGAGUGAUGAAGGCCUUAGGGUUGUAAAGCUCUUUUACCCGGGACGAUAAUGACAGUACCGGGAGAAUAAGCUCCGGCUAACUCCGUG
rnacentral:rRNA from 1 species